rnacentral:rRNA from 1 species
GGUAAGAUCCCUUAAAGAUGAUGAGGUUGAUAGGUCUGGGGUGGAAGUGUGGCAACACAUGGAGCUGACAGAUACUAAUCGAUCGAGGGCUUAACCAAUU